rnacentral:tRNA from 1 species
GCCCGGGUGGCGAAAUCGGUAGACGCAGGGGACUCAAAAUCCCCCGCCGCAAGGCGUGUCGGUUCGAGUCCGACCCCGGGCA